rnacentral:misc_RNA from 1 species
GCAAACUUGGUCAUUUAGAGGAAGUAAAAGUCGUAACAAGGUCUCCGUUGGUGAACCAGCGGAGGGAUCAUUACAGAGUUAUUCUACUCUCAAACCCAUGUGAACUUACCACUGUUGCCUCGGCGGCAGGUCCCUUCCGAACCCCUCCGGGGGCGAGGCCGGGGCUUCCGCCGGUGGACUACUAAACUCUUGUUUUUACUUGUCUCUCUGAGUAAACUAUAAAAUAAAUCAAAACUUUCAACAACGGAUCUCUUGGUUCUGGCAUCGAUGAAGAACGCAGC